rnacentral:rRNA from 1 species
GACGAACGCUGGCGGCGUGCCUAACACAUGCAAGUCGAGCGGAGUCAGUAAGAGGAAGUUUUCGGAUGGAAUCUUAUUGAUUUAGCGGCGGACGGGUGAGUAACGCGUGAGCGACCAACCUUGCACAGGGGGAUAACGGACCGAAAGGUUCACUAAUACCGCAUGAGACCACGGUGUUGCAUGACACAGGGGUCAAAGGAGCAAUCCGGUGCAAGACGGGCUCGCGUCCGAUUAGGUAGUUGGAGGGGUAACGGCCCACCAAGCCUAUGAUCGGUAGCAGACCUGAGAGGGUGAUCGGCCACAAUGGAACUGAGAUACGGUCCAAACUCCUACGGGAGGCAGCAGUGGGGAAUAUUGGGCAAUGGGGGAAACCCUGACCCAGCAACGCCGCGUGAAGGAAGAAGGUUUUCGGAUUGUAAACUUCUGUCCUUGGUGAAGAGAAGAAGACGGUAGCCAAGGAGGAAGCCCCGGCUAACUACGUGCCAGCCGCCGCCGUAA